rnacentral:lncRNA from 1 species
UUUACUGAGGGUUGGAAAUGAAUCUUGAAUCUUUCCUACUUAAACACCAUUGUGCUGUCAGUAAUUCCUCAUAGGAGGAUGCUGUUACCUGGGGACUUCUGUUAAGUCACAAUUAUGCCACAUUUACACCGUAAUCUUGUGCUGUUUUAUGUUAUCUGGUGUAAGCUGUGUUUAUCUGCCAUACUUAAACAGCCACUACUGUUAAGUUCUUUCUUGCUUCAGUAAAAACUAUUUUACUUUCUUUAACUGUCAAUGUCUGUGAGGAGUGGAUUUUGCCUAUCAGCUUCUGCCUGAAUUCUGGAAGCUGCAGGAAGCAGUGGCUCCCAGGUCCUUUUGUCCAGGAGAAAGCAGGAAUCAGUGGAGAUGCUUCACAGCAGUAUCCUGGAAGGACUGAGCUGAGACAGGGAAUGCUGGGGUCAGUGGGGACUGGAGACAAGGUGAUUCCCAAGGUGUGGAUCAGGGGGAGCAGUGUCACUGUCCUGGUUCUGAACUUCUGAGGAACAGAUUUGCUUGAUCAGGUUUUAUGAGGUUGCUGCAGAUUGUUUGCAGCAUUAUCAAACCCACACCAUUACGUAACGUGCAGCUUGCUUGGGGGAAAUGGAACAUCAGAGUGAAGAGACACAACAGCAAAUAAUGUAGAGAGAAAUUCUUUGAUGCAUCUUAUUUGUGUCUGUUUCUAGGAAUAGAAAUGCAGUGUCACUUAUUUGAAGUAUCUGGGUUAUAAAUAUGUUUUCUACAAGAAUUUUAAACAAAUGGGAAAAACACAGUGGAAAUUAAGCUGUUGACUGUAAUAAAAGGAAAGUGAGAGUUCGUGGUGAUCUCCUG